rnacentral:rRNA from 1 species
UCCUCCCUCUGGCUUCGUGCUUAACACAUGCAAGUCGAACGAAAAGGCCCUGCUUUUGUGGGGUGCUCGAGUGGCGAACGGGUGAGUAACACGUGAGUAACCUGCCCUUGACUUUGGGAUAACUUCAGGAAACUGGGGCUAAUACCGGAUAGGAGCUCCUGCUGCAUGGUGGGGGUUGGAAAGUUUCGGCGGUUGGGGAUGGACUCGCGGCUUAUCAGCUUGUUGGUGGGGUAGUGGCUUACCAAGGCUUUGACGGGUAGCCGGCCUGAGAGGGUGACCGGCCACAUUGGGACUGAGAUACGGCCCAGACUCCUACGGGAGGCAGCAGUGGGGAAUAUUGCACAAUGGGCGGAAGCCUGAUGCAGCAACGCCGCGUGCGGGAUGACGGCCUUCGGGUUGUAAACCGCUUUCGCCUGUGACGAAGCGUGAGUGACGGUAAUGGGUAAAGAAGCACCGGCUAACUACGUG